rnacentral:rRNA from 1 species
GAUGAACGCUGGCGGCGUGCCUAAUACAUGCAAGUCGAGCGAAGCGGCGGAUGGGUGAGCAACGCGUGGGUAACCUGCCCUUAAGUGUGAGAUACCAUUUGGAAACAGAUGCUAAUACCGGAUACUACAGGAUGGACCGGCGAUGCAUUAGCUAGGUGGUAAGGUAACGGCUUACCAAGGCGAUGAUGCAUAGCUGGUUUGAGAGGCUGAUCGGCCACACUGGGACUGAGACACGGCCCAAACUCCUACGGGAGGCAGCAGUAGGGAAUCGUCCACAAUGGACGAAAGUCUGAUGCAGCAACGCCGCGUGAGUGAAGAAGGGUUUCGGAUCGUAAAGCUCUUUUGUUCGUGAAGCGUUAAUCACCCAGAAAGUCACGGCUAACUCCGUGCCAGCAGCCGCGGUAAUUC